UGCCAGACUCCUACGGGAGGCAGCAGUGGGGGAUAUUGCACAAUGGGGGGAACCCUGAUGCAGCGACGCCGCGUGGGUGAAGAAGCGCCUCGGCGCGUAAAGCCCUGUCAGCAGGGAAGAAAAUGACGGUACCUGAAGAAGAAGCCCCGGCUAACUACGUGCCAGCAGCCGCGGUAAUACGUAGGGGGCAAGCGUUAUCCGGAUUUACUGGGUGUAAAGGGAGCGUAGACGGCAGUGCAAGUCUGAAGUGAAAGCCCCGGGCUUAACCCGGAAACUGCUUUGGAAACUGUACGGCUGGAGUGCUGGAGAGGUAAGCGGAAUUCCUAGUGUAGCGGUGAAAUGCGUAGAUAUUAGGAGGAACACCAGUGGCGAAGGCGGCUUACUGGACAGUAACUGACGUUGAGGCUCGAAAGCGUGGGGAGCAAACAGGAUUAGAUACCCCAGUAU
rnacentral:rRNA from 1 species